UACGGAGGGUGCAAGCGUUAUCCGGAUUCACUGGGUUUAAAGGGUGCGUAGGUGGGCAGGUAAGUCAGUGGUGAAAUCUCCGGGCUUAACCCGGAACUGCCGUUGAUACUAUUUGUCUUGAAUAUUGUGGAGGUAAGCGGAAUAUGUCAUGUAGCGGUGAAAUGCUUAGAUAUGACAUAGAACACCAAUUGCGAAGGCAGCUUAACUACAACAACGAUUGACGCUGAGGCACGAAAGCGUGGGAUCAAACAGG
rnacentral:rRNA from 1 species